rnacentral:rRNA from 1 species
UUCUUAUAGACACAAGUUUAAAUGAAUGUAAAAAACCUUUAAAUUAUAAAUAACUUUUAACAAUGGAUCUCUAGGCUCUCACAUCGAUGAAGAACACAGUGAAAUGUGAUAAGUAAUGUGAAUUGCAGAAUUCAGUGAAUCAUCGAAUCUUUGAACGCAUCUUGCGCCUUUUGGUAUUCCAAAAGGCACACCUGUUUGAGUGUCAUGAAACCCUCUCAUUAAACAAUUUUGUAAAAGGAGUUGUUUAGUGGAUGUUGAGUGUUGCUGUAAUUAGCUCACUUUAAAUAUAUAAGUCACUUUUCAAAUGAGUUGGAUUGACUUGAUGUAAUAAUUUUAUCAUCACAUCAAGGAAAGUAGCAAUACUUGCCAGCUUUUUGAAUGAGGGACUCCUAAAAACCCCCCUUAUCAUACAUUUUAAGACCUCAAAUCAGGUGGGACUACCCGCUGAACUUAAGCAU